rnacentral:tRNA from 1 species
CCUCUGGUAGCUCAGUUGGUAGAGCGAUGUACUGUAGAUCCAUAGGUCGCUGGUUCAAAUCCGGCUCGAAGGA